rnacentral:tRNA from 1 species
ACUUAUAUAGUAUAAAAAUUAUAUUUAACUUCCAAUUAAAAGACCUAUUAAAUAGUAUAAGUA